UACAGUCACACCACGUUGAAACCCUGGUUCUCGUACAAUUACAGAAGUUAAGCAACGUUGAGCCUGGUCAGUACCUAGGUGGGUGACUGCUUAGGAAUACCAGGUGCUGUAAG